rnacentral:rRNA from 1 species
UACGUAGGGUGCAAGCGUUAAUCGGAAUUACUGGGCGUAAAGCGUGCGCAGGCGGUUCUAUAAGACAGAUGUGAAAUCCCCGGGCUCAACCUGGGAACUGCAUUUGUGACUGUAGAGCUGGAGUACGGUAGAGGGGGAUGGAAUUCCGCGUGUAGCAGUGAAAUGCGUAGAUAUGCGGAGGAACACCGAUGGCGAAGGCAACUCCCUGGACCUGUACUGACGCUCAUGACAC